rnacentral:lncRNA from 1 species
GCAGGUUCUCCACACCCACUCUCUCCUAGCUCCCUGCCGUCCCUCUGGGCACAGUGUGUUCCCGGAUCCUCUCAACAAGCCUCCUCUCCUCUCCUGGCUGCCGGGCGCCGUCUCCCGCGGUUCCUCACUCUCUGGCCUAUCGGACAGAGGUGGACCUCUCCUCCACCACCCUCUCUCAGUUGUCCGAGGUAGCUCACCUGACCUCCCACAUCCUGGGCCCGGUUUCUAGGUCUCUCCUGGUUUCUCCAGGUCACACACAGCAACACUUCUGCUACUCUCUGUGACCCUCCAGCCGGCCUGCGUUGUCUCCUCUGCUGUGUGCGCCCUUCUCAGUCUCCCAUCCGCUGCUCAAGCCAGUUGAGCCGUCUCUGCCUCAGACAUACUGUCACACACUGUCCACAUGUCCAGCCUCCAAAGCUCCUAUCCUCCCAGCUCCCCCCAGUGUAACCUUUCCUAUUCCAUUCAGAUCGUUUCACACUCCUCUGACACAUUCGAGGGGAACCUUUCCUGACUCUCUGCCUUCAUCCCUUCACCACACUCCUGAUACCUUUAGCCUCGCCCUGGGCUGCCACCCCUCCCUACCCCCAGCCUCCCUCUGCACUGAGCCCUGGGCCUGCUGCCGCCCUCCUCCUCCUCCCUCCUAGCAGCCACCUCUCCCCAGACGCUCUCCUGCACUGACCUCUCCCACCCACUUCGAGCUUUACAUCAGUGUGGACGUCCCCUCUGGUGCUCUCUGCCCGCGUACAUACAACCCCUCUUCCUUUCAUUCUCCACUUGCAUGCCUGGGCUUCGUAUCUCAAGCAUCCUGAGCUCUGGGACCACCAAGUUGGCAAUUCACUCUUGAACCAUUAAC